rnacentral:rRNA from 1 species
AUUGAACGCUGGCGGCAUGCCUUACACAUGCAAGUCGAACGGCAGCAUAGGAGCUUGCUCCUGAUGGCGAGUGGCGAACGGGUGAGUAAUAUAUCGGAACGUGCCCUAGAGUGGGGGAUAACUAGUCGAAAGACUAGCUAAUACCGCAUACGAUGUACGGAUGAAAGUGGGGGAUCGCAAGACCUCAUGCUCCUGGAGCGGCCGAUAUCUGAUUAGCUAGUUGGUGGGGUAAAAGCUCACCAAGGCGACGAUCAGUAGCUGGUCUGAGAGGACGACCAGCCACACUGGGACCGAGACACGGCCCAGACUCCUACGGGAGGCAGCAGUGGGGAAUUUUGGACAAUGGGGGCAACCCUGAUCCAGCAAUGCCGCGUGAGUGAAGAAGGCCUUCGGGUUGUAAAGCUCUUUUGUCAGGGAAGAAACGGUUCUGGAUAAUACCUGGGACUAAUGACGGUACCUGAAGAAUAAGCACCGGCUAACUACGUGCCAGCCGCCGCAGUAA